GGGUCUAUAGUUUAACUGGUAAAAACAUUAGUUUUACAUACUAAAGACGUCUAGGUUCGACCCCUAGUAGACCUACCU
rnacentral:tRNA from 1 species